CUAGAGAUUCCUACGGGAGGCAGCAGUAAGGAAUAUUGGACAAUGGGCGCAAGCCUGAUCCAGCCAUCCCGCGUGCAGGAUGACUGCCCUAUGGGUUGUAAACUGCUUUUAUUAGGGAAGAAACCCCUGGAUUUAUCCGGGGCUGCCGGUACCUAAUGAAUAAGCACCGGCUAACUCCGUGCCAGCAGCCGCGGUAAUACGGAGGGUGCAAGCGUUAUCCGGAAUCACUGGGUUUAAAGGGUGCGUAGGCGGCGUCAUAAGUCAGGGGUGAAAGCCCACAGCUCAACUGUGGAAUUGCCUUUGAUACUGUGGUGCUUGAAUCAGGUUGAGGUAGGCGGAAUGUGGCAUGUAGCGGUGAAAUGCUUAGAUAUGCCAUAGAACACCGAUUGCGAAGGCAGCUUACUGGACCUGUAUUGACGCUGAGGCACGAAAGAGUGGGGAGCGAACAGGAUUAGAUACCCUGGUAGUCCACGCCCUAAACGAUGCUUACUCGAUGUGUGGGUCGUAGACUUGCGCAUCCAAGGGAAACCGUUAAGUAAGCCACCUGGGGAGUACGUUCGCAAGAAUGAAACUCAAAGGAAUUGACGGAAUCGUCGACC
rnacentral:rRNA from 1 species